rnacentral:rRNA from 1 species
CCUACGGGAGGCAGCAGUGGGGAAUAUUGGGCAAUGGGCGCAAGCCUGACCCAGCAACGCCGCGUGAAGGAAGAAGGCUUUCGGGUUGUAAACUUCUUUUAAGAGGGAAGAGAAGAAGACGGUACAUCUUGAAUAAGCCACGGAUAACUACGUGCCAGCAGCCGGGGUAAUACGGAGGUGGCAAGCGGUGUCCGGAUUUACUGGGUGUAAAGGGCGUGUAGCCGGGCUGACAAGUCAGAUGUGAAAUUCCGGGGCUCAACCCCGGACCUGCUUUUGAAACUGUUGGUCUUGAGUAUCGGAGAGGCAGGCGGAAUUCCUAGUGUAGCGGUGAAAUGCGUAGAUAUUAGGAGGAACACCAGUGGCGAAGGCGGCCUGCUGUACGACAACUGACGGUGAGGCGCGAAAGCGUGGGGAGCAAACAGGAUUAGAUACCCCAGUAGUC